GACGAACGCUGGCGGCGUGCUUAACACAUGCAAGUCGAACGGUGAAGCGCCUUCCUUUUUGGUGGGUGUGGAUGAGUGGCGAACGGGUGAGUAACACGUGAGUAACCUGCCCCCUUCUUCUGGAUAACCGCAUGAAAGUGUGGCUAAUACGGGAUAUUCUGGGUCUGUCGCAUGAUGGGUCUGGGAAAGAUAUUGUUUCGGUGGGGGAUGGGCUCGCGGCCUAUCAGCUUGUUGGUGGGGUGAUGGCCUACCAAGGCGGUGACGGGUAGCCGGCCUGAGAGGGUGGACGGUCACACUGGGACUGAGACACGGCCCAGACUCCACGGGAGGCAGCAGUGGGGAAUAUUGCACAAUGGGCGCAAGCCUGAUGCAGCGACGCCGCGUGAGGGAUGGAGGCCUUCGGGUUGUGAACCUCUUUCGCCAGUGAAGCAGGCCUGCCUCGUUUGUGGGUGGGUUGACGGUAGCUGGAUAAGAAGCGCCGGCUAACUACGUG
rnacentral:rRNA from 1 species